CACGUAGGGUGCGAGCGUUGUCCGGAAUUAUUGGGCGUAAAGAGCUCGUAGGCGGUGUGUCGCGUCGGCCGUGAAAACCUGCAGCUUAACUGUGGGCUUGCGGUCGAUACGGGCAUCACUGGAGUUCGGCAGGGGAGAAUGGAAUUCCCGGUGUAGCGGUGAAAUGCGCAGAUAUCGGGAGGAACACCGGUGGCGAAGGCGGUUCUCUGGGCCUUACCUGACGCUGAGGAGCGAAAGCGUGGGGAGCGAACAGG
rnacentral:rRNA from 1 species